CCCACCAUGUCAAAGUUGGCAACUCUUACAGGUCAUACAUACAGAGUUCUUUAUCUUGCCAUCUCGCCAGAUGGACAGACUAUUGUCACGGGAGCAGGGGAUGAAACUCUGGUUUUGGAAUGUGUUCCCUUCCCCUAAAUCUGAGAACACUGACGGUGAAAUUGGAGCAUCAUCUCUAGGGAGAACUACAAUCCGGUAAUUCAUGGAGACGGGUUUUCAUUUAAAAUAUCUUAAGGCUAUUUCAGUAGAAGGAGAAAAGAUUGUAAAUAUGUGACAAGCUUGGAAGAUUAUUCUGCAAAAUAGAGCCUUAUCAGAUUGGUUUUCUCGAACCAACCCCUAAUCGGCCAGGAAAUUUGCAGGGACCUGAAAGGCUGAACAUGCGAAUGGAUGUGAUGAUAUUUCUAGUAGUUGCUGGAAAUAAUUAAUUUUGUUUUUGGUCCUUUUAUAUCUUGAUUUAUAAAUUGUAUAGUGGGAGGUG
rnacentral:misc_RNA from 1 species